rnacentral:rRNA from 1 species
GUAUUUUGUAAAGUUGUUCUAGUUUUGUAACUAAAAUGGUUUGGCAGUGAGCGAUUCUUAUUAGGGGAAUAUGCAUAGUGAAGGAUGGUCCACCUAUUAGUUUACUCUUUUUAUGUUGGUGUAUGUCUGGUUUGAUAUUAUUGUUGAAUAAUUUAAGUUUGUGUAGUUUUAGUUAAGCUAAGUCUAUGUGCUGCUUAUUGGAGUUUUUGUGUGUUACAUUAAUAAGGGUGUUAUUGUAAGAUGAUGUGAUUUAGG